rnacentral:lncRNA from 1 species
GCCAUUGCUCUGUGGGUCCCAAGAUCCGGACUUAGAGGACGCGGGGAGGGCGGGGCGGCGCCCGGCUUCCGGGUAGUGGCAGGUGAGGCCGCGUGGGGCCAGCGGCGGCUCCUUGCUGGUCUGUGGCUCUGGGCCCAAGACCCGAGCCUCCUACAGGGGCGGCCCCCUGCCUGAGGCGCGGGUGGGUUCCGACCUCCGAGAGCCGGUCUGGAAGCACUGAGGGGCCCCUACUUUUGCCCCCGAAGUCAGCGGGGCAACAGCCGCUCCCUUGCAGGAGCCGGGCCGUGGGCGGAGGGCCCCGGUGGGUGAGAUCGGUGACCCCCGAAAACUCCGACCAAAGAGCUGCAGCAAGAAAGGAGUUGGUUCCCACAAACCGCCCAGAGUCAAGGAACUAAAAUCAGUCUGAUGGCAGCUGCACAAGAUGGGAAGGAGUAAUCCUUGAAAUUAGACCAAGGAAGCACGUGAAGUGUGUUUGCUCUCAGCCACCAGCCUCAGAAGAGCUCAAGUCCAGGUAGGGUACAUUUUACCUGAGAUCUACUCUGGGGUGUCUUCCCUUGGUCACAGCCUGCUCCCAGGCACUCCUGGUGAGUUGGGUCUCUUUCCUACAUGUUGUGUAGCAUUAUUGUCCCAUAUUCACAGUGAGCUGUCAGAUUCCCAGGAGCAGAAGCCUGUUUCUGAAGCAUCCAAUCAGUCUAGAAAUAAUAGUCUAGUUAUCUGAUUUUUCACAGCUCUUUGCCUUUUCCUUGCACUGAGGAGUUAGGUAGCUAACUUUAUUCACAUCAAACAGCUAUGGAAGUUAAAGUUAUCUCAGAUUCGGAGCUAUAGACAUUACUUAAGAAGCGCUGUGGUUCUUUAAGUAUAUUCACGUCAUAAGCACUCAGCAAACCAGGUUAUUCAAGAAUCCUCUUAUCUCAGAAAGCUGAUUACAUUAUAUAAAGUAUCAAGGCAUUUAUUUCAAAGAUACUGAGAAAAAUCAGAGCAUUCUUGUCAGGUGUCUGUGGCACUUUGGCACUUGACCCCAACAUUCUUAAACAUCCUCUCAUCAAGAGCAAGAGUGCCCCACACGCUUCUCUGAACCAGGAUGAGCCAGUGACUGCUUUGACCAAUUAAGUAUGAUAGAAAGGUUGCUAUGUGACUUUUCAGGCUGGAUCUGAAAAAGCCAUGCCAGUUUUGCUUUCUUUUCUUUGGAUACUUGCUCUGAGAGAAGUCUGCUGCCACAUAGAGUGUAUCUCCCCUAAGAAAGUCAUGCUGGAAAGGCCUUCUGGUCACAGCCCUGCUCAGCUUCCAGCAACAGCCAGCAUCCACUGCCAGCCAUGUGGACAGGCCAUCUUGGGUGUCCCCAGAUGUGUUGACGACUCAGCUCAGUGGAGCCUUCAGAUUGUUGCAGUCUCCACCAACAUCUGACUGCAACCUCUUGAGAAAUGCCUUGUGACAGCAAAGCAGCCAAGCCCUUCCGUAACUCAUAACCCACAAAAUCAUUUAAAAAGAUCGUUUUUAACAAAUUGGUUUUCGGUUCAUACCACUAAAGUUUUAGGGCAAUUUGUUUUACAGUGCCAUUGGGAAAGAAGUUUCUCCCCUUUGACACACCUCCUCACCAUUCCAGCUGCUCACUUUCACUUCUGAGUGUUUGUGCUGUAGUUGCUUCAGUCCAUAUCUUCUUGGGUUUAUCUUUUCAUACUUUACACAUAUACACACACAGCCACAUAGGCACAGCCACCCACAUAGAAAAUUGAUCACUUGGCUCAGUUCUACUCCCCAGAUGACUUCAUUCAGACCUCAUUUUUCAGCUGGGAAAAAAAAAAAAAAAA